GUUUGCGUGGCCUAGUAGGUAGCGUAUCUGGCUCGCAACCGGAGGGUUGUGGGUUCGAAUCCUGCCUCCACCU
rnacentral:tRNA from 1 species